rnacentral:rRNA from 1 species
GGGAGGACCACCUCCCAAGGCUAAAUACUACCUGAUGACCGAUAGUGAAGCAGUACCGUGAGGGAAAGGUGAAAAGAACCCCGGGAGGGGAGUGAAAUAGAACCUGAAACCGUGUGCCUACAACCGCUCAGAGCCCCUUAUGAGGGUGAUGAGGUGCUUUUUGUAGAACGAGCCAACGAGUUACGGUAUGUAGCAAGGUUAAGUACUUAAGGUACGGAGCCGAAGGGAAACCGAGUCUGAAUAGGGCGACUAGUUGCAUGCCGUAGACCCGAAACCGGGUGACCUAUCCAUGGCCAGGUUGAAGCGAGGGUAAAACCUCGUGGAGGACCGAACCACGUUGCUGUUGAAAAAGCAUGGGAUGAGCUGUGGAUAGCGGAGAAAUUCCAAUCGAACCCGGAGAUAGCUGGUUCUCUCCGAAAUAGCUUUAGGGCUAGCGUCGAGUAUGAGUAGUGGAGGUAGAGCACUGAAUGGGCUAGGGGGCAUAGCGCUUACCGAACCUUAUCAAACUCCGAAUGCCACAUACUUUGAGCUCGGCAGUCAGACUACGAAUGAUAAGAUCCGUGGUCAAAAGGGAAACAGCCCAGAUCGUCAGCUAAGGUCCCAAAGUGUAAGUUAAGUGGGAAAGGAUGUGAGAUUUCUAAGACAACUAGGAUGUUGGCUUAGAAGCAGCCAUUCAUUAAAAGAGUGCGUAAUAGCUCACUAGUCGAGAGAUCUUGCGCCGAAAAUGUAACGGGGCUAAACUUACCACCGAAGCUACGGGCUUGAACAUAGUUCAAGCGGUAGGAGAGCGUCGUAACCGGGCUGAAGUCGUACCGUAAGGAGCGGUGGACUGGUUACGAGUGAGAAUGUUGGCAUCAGUAGCGAGAUGUGGGUGAGAAUCCCACAGGCCGAAAACCUAAGGUUUCCUCAGGAAGGUUCGUCCGCUGAGGGUUAGUCGGGACCUAAGCCGAGGCCGAAAGGCGUAGGUGAUGGACAACUGGUUGAUAUUCCAGUACCACUACCAUCGUUAUUAUCGAUGGCGUGACGCAGGAGGAUAGUGUGUGCUAGCUAUUGGAUGCUAGUCUAAGCGUUUAGGCAGUGAGAGUAGGCAAAUCCGCUCUCAUAAUGCUGAGGCGUGAUGGGGAAGGUUCUACGGAACCGAAGUACAUGAUUCCACGCUGCCAAGAAAAGCGUCUAGAGAGAGAAGUAGUGCCCGUACCGCAAACCGACACAGGUAGGUGAGGAGAGAAUCCUAAGGCCGGCGGAAGAAUUACAGUUAAGGAACUCGGCAAAUUGACCCCGUAAGUUCGCGAGAAGGGGUGCCUACGAGAGUAGGCCGCAGAGAAUAGGCCCAAGCAACUGUUUAGCAAAAACACAGGUCUCUGCUAAAGCGUAAGCUGAUGUAUAGGGGCUGACGCCUGCCCGGUGCUGGAAGGUUAAGGGGAACACUUAGCGCAAGCGAAGGUGUGAACUUAAGCCCCAGUAAACGGCGGCCGUAACUAUAACGGUCCUAAGGUAGCGAAAUUCCUUGUCAGGUAAGUUCUGACCCGCACGA